rnacentral:rRNA from 1 species
AUUGAACGCUGGCGGCAUGCCUAACACAUGCAAGUCGAGCGGAUGAAGGUGGCUUGCUCCUGGAUUCAGCGGCGGGCGGGUGGGUAAUUCCUAGGAAGCUGCCCUGUAGUUGGGCAGAGGGCCAGAAAUGGGAACCUAUUCCCACAUCGCAUAUAAGGUGGAAACAGAGGUUUUUUGGGUGAAAGCUGCAAUUGCAUCACUCAGAGAGGAUUCUGGGUUGGAUUAGCUAGUUGGUGGGGUAAAGGCCUACCAAGGCGAGGAUCAGUAGCCGAUCUGAGAGGAUGAUCAGUCAAACUGGAACUGGGACACGGUCCAGACUCCUACGGGAGGCAGCAGUGGGGAAUAUUGGACAAUGGGCGAAAGCCUGAUCCAGCCAUGCCGCGUGUGUGAAGAAGGUCUUCGGAUUGUAAAGCACUUUAAGUGGGGAGGAAGGGCAGUAAGUUAAUACCUUGCUGUUUUGACGGUACCAACAGAAUAAGCACCGGCUAACUUCGUG